AUUGAACGCUGGCGUCAGGCCUAACACAUGCAAGUCGAACGAGUGGCGGACGGGUGAGUAAUGUCUGGGAAACUGCCCGAUGGAGGGGGAUAACUACUGGAAACGGUAGCUAAUACCGCCUACCAUCUGAUGUGCCCAGAUGGGAUUAGCUAGUAGGUUGGGUAACGGCUCACCUCGGCGACGAUCCCUAGCUGGGCUGAGAGGAUGACCAGCCACACUGGAACGUAGACACGGUCCAGAGUCAUACGUGAGGAAGCAGUGGUGAAUAUUGCACAAUGGGAGCAAGCCGGAUGCAGCAAUGCCGCGUGUAUGAAGAAGGCCUUCGGGUUGUAAAGUACUUUCAGCGAGGAGGCGUUACUCGCAGAAGAAGCACCGGCUAACUCCGUGCCAGCAGCCGCGGUAAUAC
rnacentral:rRNA from 1 species